UUAGCGCCAUCUGCUCGCGGCGCCGCCUCCUGCUCCUCCCGCCGCCUCCUGCUCCUCCCGCCGCCGCUGCCGCCCUGAGUCACUGACUGCGCAGCUCCGGCCGCCUGGCUCCCCAUACUAGCCGCCGAUAUUUGGAGUUCUUACAACAUGGCAGACAUUGACAACAAAGAACAGUCUGAACUUGAUCAAGAUUUGGAUGAUGUUGAAGAAGUAGAAGAAGAAGAAACUGGUGAAGAAACAAAAAUCAAAGCACGUCAGCUAACUGUUCAGAUGAUGCAAAAUCCUCAGAUUCUUGCAGCCCUUCAAGAAAGACUUGAUGGUCUGGUAGAAACACCAACAGGAUACAUUGAAAGCCUGCCUAGGGUAGUUAAAAGACGAGUGAAUGCUCUCAAAAACCUGCAAGUUAAAUGUGCACAGAUAGAAGCCAAAUUCUAUGAGGAAGUUCACGAUCUUGAAAGGAAGUAUGCUGUUCUCUAUCAGCCUCUAUUUGAUAAGCGAUUUGAGAUCAUUAAUGCAAUUUAUGAACCUACGGAAGAAGAAUGUGAAUGGAAACCAGAUGAAGAAGAUGAGAUUUUGGAGGAAUUGAAAGAAAAGGCCAAGAUUGAAGAUGAGAAAAAGGAUGAAGAAAAAGAAGACCCCAAUCAGUGAUAUGGUUCAGGAACAUGAUGAACCUAUUCUGAAGCACUUGAAAGAUAUUAAAGUGAAGUUCUCAGAUGCUGGCCAGCCUAUGAGUUUUGUCUUAGAAUUUCACUUUGAACCCAAUGAGUAUUUUACAAAUGAAGUGCUGACAAAGACAUAUAGGAUGAGGUCAGAACCAGAUGAUUCUGAUCCCUUUUCUUUUGAUGGACCAGAAAUUAUGGGUUGUACAGGGUGUUAGAUAGAUUGGAAAAAAGGAAAGAAUGUCACUUUGAAAACCAUUAAGAAGAAGCAGAAACACAAGGGACGCGGGACAGUUCGUACUGUGACUAAAACAGUUUCCAAUGACUCUUUCUUUAAUUUUUUUGCCCCUCCUGAAGUUCCCGAGAGUGGAGAUCUGGAUGAUGAUGCUGAAGCUAUCCUUGCUGCAGACUUCGAAAUUGGUCACUUUUUACGUGAGCGUAUAAUCCCAAGAUCAGUGUUAUACUUUACUGGAGAAGCUAUUGAAGAUGAUGAUGAUGAUUAUGAUGAAGAAGGUGAAGAAGCGGAUGAGGUAAUGUUUACCAAAUGAGCAAAUAUGUUUAACACAUUGAGAAGCAAAUUGAAUGACUUAUGUAUUCCUUUGCUAUAAUCAUUCUGUGAUUUGGGAUAAAAAACAUUUUGGAAAAUAUGAUUUUAGAAUUCUACAGCCAAACAAUGUAUGUAUAAGGUUUCAAUAAAUAAAUUGCAAAACUCAAAAAAAAAAAAAAAAAAAACAUCAGCCCACACAUAUAAUUAUAGUAAUCAACAUUUACAUAUAAACAUAUUUAGAAAAGCUACAAUCUAAAUGUCUAUCAACUAAUAAAUGGACAGAUAAAAUGUGGUAUAUCCAUAGAAUAAAAUAUUAUUCAGCAAUAAAAAGAAAUGCAAUACCAAUACAUUCAUCCAAUAGGAUGAAUCCUGAGAACACUGUUAAGAAGCCAGUAACAAGGGCCACAUAUUGUACAAUUCUAUUUACAUAGAAAUGUAUAGAAUUAGGCAAAUUUACAGAAACAGAAAGUAGAUUGGUGGUUACCCAGAGCUGGGGAGUAGGAAGGGCGUAGAGGGUGAUGGCCAACAGGUAUAAGGUUUCUUUUGAGAGCUAAUGAAAAUGUUCUAAAAUUAUAAUAAUUUUAUAAUUAUAUAUACUAAAUAUACUCUGAAUAUACAAAAACCAGUUAAUUGUACACUUUAAAUGGGUAAAUUGCAUGGAAUAUAAAUUAAAUUUCAAUAAAGCUGUUAAAAAACUGUUUAGAAAAACUUCAGUUUCUGUAAAAUAACAAAACUGAAAAACUAGGGUAAAAAUAUUUAGAGAGCAGAGACUGUCUUAUUCAUCUUUGCAUUUAAAAACUUAUAACAGAAGCUCACACACAGUAGAUGCUCAAUAAAUAUUGAUUUACAUAAAUUUAAUACAAAUAACUGAAAAAUAUUGGACUGCAAGUAUUGGACUCCAAUAUUACUAAGAAAAAUGUUAUGCACUUGACUCAUUAUUCAUAACUAUAUAUUAUCUACAUAAUAAAUAUCCUUGCUAAUCUAAAAUAGGCUGGGCAUGGUAGCUCACAUCUGGAAUCCCAGCACUUUGAGAGGUUGAGGCGGGAGGAUUGGUUGAGCUCACCAGUUUGAGACAAGCCUCAGCAACAUAGCAAGGUGCCAUCUCUACAAAAAAAUUAAAAUAUUAGCCAAUAUGGUGGCACAUGCCUGUAGUCCCAGCUUCUUGGGAGGCUGAGGCAAGAGGAUCACUUGGGUCCAGAAGUAUCAGAUUACAGUGAUCUAUGAUCAUGCCACUGUGCUUCAACCUAGGUGAUAGAAUUUUUCUCAAAAAAAAUUUUUUAAUUCAAAAAUCCUUUGGAAUGCAUACCAGGUUUCCUUAGCACCAGAUUUCUUUUUUCUUAAAUAUGUUUUGCUAAAUUAAACUCAUAAUUCCCAGAAUACUAUGGAAAUCUUAAAAAGAUAGGGGGCAAGAAAAGGUCAGAAGCAAACCAGAUCGAAAUUAGCAUCUUACUAUGUAUAAUACAAAUGUGCAGCUCACAAGGAAAGAACCAACUAUACAGAUACUCCUCAACUUACAAUAGGGUUAAAUUCUGAUAAACCCAUGGUGAGUUGAAAAUAUAUGCUGAAAAUGCAUUUGAUACACCUAAUCUACUGAACAUUAUAGCUUAAUCUACCCUACCUUAAACAUCCUCAAAACACUUACAUUAGUCUACAAUUGGGUGAGAUAAUUUAACACAAAGCCUAUUUUAUAAUAAAGUGUUGAAUAUCUUUUGUAAUUUAUUGAAUACUAUAUUAAAAGUGAAAAAAAAUAAUGGUUAUGUGGGUACUUGAAGUAAUGAUUUCUACUGAAUAUGUAUCACUUUCACACCAUUGUAAAAUUGAAAACCCAUAGGUCAAACCAUCAUAAGUUGAGGACAGUCUGUAUAUCAUUUCACCUUUUUAUAUACUUGGUCUUAUAUUCAAUCACUAUAGGGGCUUUGGGGACUUUUUCAUUCUAUAUGGUGUUCUGAGUUACUGGAAGCUGGCAUUCAGCUACUGAAUUUUGACAUGUAGAAAGGUAACUGUCAAAAAUUUCAAAUGUGGAGAAUAAUCAUAUUAAUAUACUAGAAAUGCUGUAGAAGUGUAUUUCUAAUUUUCUUAAUUGUAAGCUUUGUAAAAUAAAAAAAUUUUUUAAAGUC